rnacentral:sRNA from 1 species
AAUAAACGGGCAGCGGCUUCUGCUCAGCUCUCGUGUGAUACAAAAAUAUGGAUUCCUGUGGAUUCCGAUUGAUUGUUUAUCGUUAGCCGUUUGCUAAUUAGGCAGUGUGUUUUUUCCAAAAUUUUAACCGACAACAACAACAAUCGAAAC